rnacentral:rRNA from 1 species
AAACGACUCUCGGCGACGGAUAUCUCGGCUCACGCAUCGAUGAAGAACGUAGCAAAAUGCGAUACUUGGUGUGAAUUGCAGAAUCCCGUGAACCAUCGAGUUUUUGAACGCAAGUUGCGCCCGAAGCCAUCCGGUUGAGGGCACGCCUGCCUGGGCGUCACG